rnacentral:lncRNA from 1 species
AACGGAGGAAAGGUUUCAGCAGCCUGGUUCCAGCAGCCUCUCGGCUCUAAUAAACCAUCGCCUUUCCUGUAACCAUCCAUGUCCCCGUACAGUUCAUUGUAAAGGGGCAUCGGAACCUGAGAAACCCAGCGCCUCAUCUCCAGACUCAGAUCCCGAUCCGUUCUAUCAGUGUCCACUGACAGCUGUCCUAUGCCCCUGGACCUUCCGCCUCACCACAACGACCGAUCUGAUUGUGUGUAGCCUUUAGUUUUCCUUCUGCCCAGACCUUGAGUGCUGAGAUGGCAGGAACCUUCUUAAUCCCCCACAGCCUGCUCAGUGCCACGAAGGAAGCCUCACACAUUGUCCAUUUGGCAAGGACCUGCUGAAUGAACAAAUGGAUUUAACAGUAUUUGUCAGCUGCAUAGGGUGGGUUUAUCAUUCAUCAAACGCGUCUGCGUCUUGGUCCAUGCUUGUUGAGUAUCCUCUGAGGCUGCCUCCACAGGUUCCAGAGGUGAACCAGUCACCAUACGGCUGCUGAUCUCUCAGCCUGAAAGAAGAGACUGACAUCCCCCAGCUCUUUUGUGAUGAAGGAAGACUCUUAAGGAGUUGAGCCUCUCGAGACUCCUACAGACUCUUACAGAUGUUUGGCAACUCUGUUUCCCUCGGACUGGCCAGCUCUUUCAAUGCAGA